UACGUAGGGUGCAAGCGUUUAAUCGGAAUUACUGGGCGUAAAGCGUGCGCAGGCGGCUUUGCAAGACAGAUGUGAAAUCCCCGGGCUUAACCUGGGAACUGCAUUUGUGACUGCAAGGCUGGAGUGCGGCAGAGGGGGAUGGAAUUCCGCGUGUAGCAGUGAAAUGCGUAGAUAUGCGGAGGAACACCGAUGGCGAAGGCAAUCCCCUGGGCCUGCACUGACGCUCAUGCACGAAAGCGUGGGGAGCAAACAGG
rnacentral:rRNA from 1 species